CCUACGGGUGGCAGCAGUGGGGAAUAUUGGGCAAUGGGCGCAAGCCUGAACCAGCAACGCCGCGUGAAGGAAGAAGGCUUUCGGGUUGUAAACUUCUUUUCUCAGGGACGAAGCAAGUGACGGUACCUGAGGAAUAAGCCACGGCUAACUACGUGCCAGCAGCAGCGGUAAUACGGAGGUGGCAAUCGUUAUCCGGAUUUACUGGGUGUAAAGGUCGUGUAGGCGGGACGGCAAGUCAGAUGUGAAAACCACGGGCUCAACCGGUGGCCUGCAGUGGAAACUGUAGUUCUUGAGUACUGGAGAGGCAGACGGAAUUCCUAGUGUAGCGGUGAAAUGCGUAGAUAUUAGGAGGAACACCAGUGGCGAAGGCGGUCUGCUGGACAGCAACUGACGCUGAGGCGCGAAAGCGUGGGGAGCAAACAGGAUUAGAUACCCGAGUAGUC
rnacentral:rRNA from 1 species